rnacentral:rRNA from 1 species
GAUGAACGCUGGCGGCGUGCCUAAUACAUGCAAGUCGAGCGAACAGACGAGGAGCUUGCUCCUCUGACGUUAGCGGCGGACGGGUGAGUAACACGUGGAUAACCUACCUAUAAGACUGGGAUAACUUCGGGAAACCGGAGCUAAUACCGGAUAACAUGUUGAACCGCAUGGUUCAACAGUGAAAGACGGUCUUGCUGUCACUUAUAGAUGGAUCCGCGCCGCAUUAGCUAGUUGGUAAGGUAACGGCUUACCAAGGCAACGAUGCGUAGCCGACCUGAGAGGGUGAUCGGCCACACUGGAACUGAGACACGGUCCAGACUCCUACGGGAGGCAGCAGUAGGGAAUCUUCCGCAAUGGGCGAAAGCCUGACGGAGCAACGCCGCGUGAGUGAAGAAGGUCUUCGGAUCGCAAAACUCUGUUAUUAGGGAAGAACAAAUGUGUAAGUAACUAUGCACGUCUUGACGGUACCUAAUCAGAAAGCCACGGCUAACUACGUG